rnacentral:rRNA from 1 species
UACAGGGGGGGCAAGCGUUGUUCGGAAUUACUGGGCGUAAAGAGCGCGCAGGCGGUCGAUCAAGUCGAGUGUGAAAGCCCCCGGCUCAACUGGGGAGGGUCAUUCGAUACUGAUCGACUCGAAGGCAGGAGAGGGUAGUGGAAUUCCCGGUGUAGUGGUGAAAUGCGUAGAUAGUCGGGAGGAACACCAGUGGCGAAGGCGACUACCUGGCCUGUUCUUGACGCUGAGGCGCGAAAGCUAGGGGAGCAAACGGGG